CCUACGGGGUGCAGCAGUGAGGAAUAUUGGUCAAUGGACGAGAGUCUGAACCAGCCAAGUAGCGUGAAGGAUGACUGCCCUAUGGGUUGUAAACUUCUUUUAUAUGGGAAUAAAAUGUUCCACGUGUGGGAUUUUGUAUGUACCAUAUGAAUAAGGAUCGGCUAACUCCGUGCCAGCAGCCGCGGUAAUACGGAGGAUCCGAGCGUUAUCCGGAUUUAUUGGGUUUAAAGGGAGCGUAGGUGGAUUGUUAAGUCAGUUGUGAAAGUUUGCGGCUCAACCGUAAAAUUGCAGUUGAAACUGGCAGUCUUGAGUACAGUAGAGGUGGGCGGAAUUCGUGGUGUAGCGGUGAAAUGCUUAGAUAUCACGAAGAACUCCGAUUGCGGAGGCAGUUCACUGGACUGCAACUGACACUGAGGCUCGAAAGUGUGGGUAUCAAACAGGAUUAGAUACCCGUGUAGUC
rnacentral:rRNA from 1 species